GAUGGGGUUGGGUUAUAAUUUUGCUUACUAUUUUACUUUUUUAAGGUGGGCUGACGAUGGCGGUAUAUAGGCUGUAUUGGCAAGAUAGGGUUGGGUUUAUCGGGGUUUAUCGAUUAUAGAACAGGCUCCUCUAGGUGGGUUUAGGGCACCGCCAAGUCCUUUGAGUUUUAAGCAAUUGCUAGUAGUUCUCU